rnacentral:lncRNA from 1 species
GUUUGGAUCUCAUCUUUUACAGCUGUUUUCCCUUUUGUUUUAUAAACUUUAAAAUUUCCUGGUUCUCAUCAUUCCUCUGACCUCAGCAAUAUUGGAUGGUGACACCCAGAGCUUCUUGGUUUUCUUGCUCUUUAUCCAUGAAAACAAAAGAGAACAAACAAAAUACCUGUGUCAUGGAGGAGGGAGAUGUAAAGACAAAUCUUUCAUGCAAUCCAGUAUAAACACUGAAGCAUUUCAAGCAACUGGAUUGCUGCUGCUGCUGCGUCGCUUCAGUCAUGUCCGACUCUGUGUGACCCCAUAGACGGAAGCCCACCAGGCUUCCCCAUCCCUGGGAUUCUCCAGGCAAGAACACUGGAGUGGGUU